GACGAACGCUGGCGGCAAGCUUAACACAUGCAAGUCGAACGCCGUAGCAAUACGGAGUGGCAGACGGGUGAGUAACACGUGGGAACGUGCCUUUCGGUUCGGAACAACUGAGGGAAACUUCAGCUAAAACCGGAUACGCCCUUCGGGGGAAAGUUUACGCCGAAAGAUCGGCCCGCGUCAGAUUAGGUAGUUGGCGGGGUAAUGGCCCACCAAGCCGAUGAUCUGUAGCUGUUCUGAGAGGAAGAUCAGCCACACUGGGACUGAGACACGGCCCAGACUCCUACGGGAGGCAGCAGUGGGGAAUAUUGGACAAUGGGCGCAAGCCUGAUCCAGCUAUGCCGCGUGGAUGAAGAAGGCCUUCGGGUUGUAAAGUCCUUUCGGCGGGGAAGAUAAUGACGGUACCCGCAGAAGAAGCCCCGGCUAACUUCGUGCCAGCCGCCGCUGUAACAC
rnacentral:rRNA from 1 species